GGCCGCGGGAAUUCGAUUCAGGCCUAACACAUGCAAGUCGAACGAUGAAGCUGGAACUUGCUCCGGUGGAUUAGUGGCGAACGGGUGAGUAACACGUGAGAAAUCUGCCCUUGACUCUGGGAUAACUGCGGGAAACUGUAGCUAAUACCGGAUACUUUCCUUGGUGGGCAUCCACUGGGGAAGAAAGAAUUUCGGUCAAGGAUGAUCUCGCGGCCUAUCAGCUAGUUGGUGAGGUAAUGGCUCACCAAGGCGACGACGGGUAGCCGGCCUGAGAGGGUGGGGGGCCACACUGGGACUGAGACACGGCCCAGACUCCUACGGGAGGCAGCAGUGGGGAAUA
rnacentral:rRNA from 1 species